GAUGAACGCUAGCUACAGGCUUAACACAUGCAAGUCGAGGGGAAACGCCAUCGAAAGCUUGCUUUUGAUGGGCGUCGACCGGCGCACGGGUGAGUAACGCGUAUCCAACCUGCCCAUCACUUGGGAAUAACCUUGCGAAAGUAAGACUAAUACCCAAUGACAUCCCACGAAGACAUCUGAAUGGGAUUAAAGAUUUAUCGGUGAUGGAUGGGGAUGCGUCUGAUUAGCUUGUUGGCGGGGUAACGGCCCACCAAGGCAACGAUCAGUAGGGGUUCUGAGAGGAAGGUCCCCCACAUUGGAACUGAGACACGGUCCAAACUCCUACGGGAGGAAGCAGUGAGGAAUAGUGGUCAAUGGGCGAGAGCCUGAACCAGCCAAGUAGCGUGCAGGAGGACGGCCCUAUGGGUUGUAAACUGCUUUUAGAAGGGAAUAAAGUGGGUCUCGGGAGACUUUUUGCAUGUACCUUAUGAAUAAGGACCGGCUAAUUCCGUG
rnacentral:rRNA from 1 species